rnacentral:rRNA from 1 species
UACGUAGGGUGCAAGCGUUGUCCGGAAUUAUUGGGCGUAAAGAGCUCGUAGGCGGUUUGUCGCGUCUGCUGUGAAAGCUCAGGGCUUAACCCUGAGCCUGCAGUGGGUACGGGCAGACUAGAGUGUGGUAGGGGAGAUCGGAAUUCCUGGUGUAGCGGUGGAAUGCGCAGAUAUCAGGAGGAACACCGGUGGCGAAGGCGGAUCUCUGGGCCAUAACUGACGCUGAGGAGCGAAAGCAUGGGGAGCGAACAGG